UACGUAGGGGGCAAGCGUUGUCCGGAAUCAUUGGGCGUAAAGCGCGUGUAGGCGGCUCGGUAAGUCUGCUGUGAAAGUCCAGGGCUCAACCCUGGGAUGCCGGUGGAUACUGUCGGGCUAGAGUCCGGAAGAGGCGAGUGGAAUUCCCGGUGUAGCGGUGAAAUGCGCAGAUAUCGGGAGGAACACCAAUGGCGAAGGCAGCUCGCUGGGACGGUACUGACGCUGAGACGCGAAAGCGUGGGGAGCAAACAGG
rnacentral:rRNA from 1 species